AAAAGACAAAGACAAAGGUGGUGGUUAUUGUUGUUGUCAGAAUCACUGAUUCACUUUCACCAAAUCAAGAAUUGGUUAAUCAGUUUGAAUCAAAAGUAUAGAUUAGACAACAGGUUAUGUCUUGUUCUUUAAAGAAUCUUACACAAACCCAUUACUACAUGAGCCUACUACACCAGGUUAUGUCUUGUUCUUUAAAGAAUCUUACACAAACCCAAUACUACAUGAGCCUACUACAACUUCAAGUCCCUACCUUGACGAGACCAAUCAGUCACAUUCGUACGAACUAAACCAGUUAAUGAAAGCACGAUUGAUACUUGCAAGGUCUCUCAUUUGGUCACUCUAAACUUUCUUUAUAAAGAUUGGAGAUAUGAUACUUGGUUCUUGGGAGGUGACGGUGAGCUUGCUACUGUUGCUGCUCCUCCUCCUCCCUCUCAAAGGCCUACGCGUAUAUAUCAUAAUCUCACAAGUUAUUUUAACUACAGUACGUUUUAUAAUGCCUUUCAAUAAAAGCAACUGAUAGAAAAGACAAGGCCAAACACCUCAUGACACAAAAUUGCAUCAAGAUAUGUAGUCAAAAGACAAGGCCUAAUGUGAAGGUUUCACUGAACGCAUAGCAAGAGGAAUGGGAUAAACUCAACGUUCCUACACUUAACUUAACUAGGACCUUCUUCCAAAAAAACUAGCUUAACCAUGUGUUCCCACAGUAAACUAGCUUGACCAUCAAAAAUAAUACGAGAGUAAAGUGAUAGUAGAACAGUCUUACCUCUUAGGACUGCGUCUACUUGAUAUCCUUCUAGGAGCCUGUAAGUCCACACAAGCUAGAGCGUCAACACAUAACUCAACGAGGCAUCUCUUUAUUUAUUUAGCUGAAAACGGGUCUGCAACAAGCCAUACCUUACGGGCGAUUGGGGAACUAGAUUACAUUGUCAGUGUGUGUUAUAUAAUAGAGUACGAUUACAAUGAACAAACACUAGUAUGUAAGGAGCUAAAAUAACAGAAUCCACAUAGAUCUUGGCAUACUGGGCUAUCGUUUAUUGAAAACUGGCACGCCACCAUAAGCUACUAUUUCAGAAUAAGACAAAGCAGGAUCUCGAACCAUACUCAUGAGCUAGGAGUUUUAUAUGCAUUCAAGAAAUAAUCCAUCAAACGAAAACAAAUACAACGUGGGCAGAACAUCAAUAAAAUUGAACGCUGGUUUCCCCAGCUCCAUACGGUUAUAAACAAGUUUAUCUCCUCCUCUAAUUACUAUACCGCAGUUCAUAAGCUUGUGUGAACCAAAUCUCUAAGCUAGUUGGGCAACAAUUUCUUCUAUGUGUGAAGAAGUGAACCUCUCUCUUUUUACAGUGUACAAAGAAUCAAAAAACAAAAAAAAUACUAUGUUCAGAUAAAAACAGAUAUGUGAUUUUUCUUACAAGUUCACAAUGUAAUCACCUGAAACGCUUUGUGAUAGAGAGGACACAGGUUCAUAAUCGUAGACCAAUUAUCAAUGCAAUCAAAGCAGAACCUAAAUAUUUAAUCAAUUAUCAGUCUGUCCUCGAUAAACAUCUCAUCAAACACAAAGCAUGAUAAAUAUAUUGCAAGAAAUGAUCUUCAAAGAACUGAAGUAAUUCUAAGGACUAUGUAAACUUUGGCAGAUUAAGAAAUGUAAUGCACAAAGAAAACAAGCUAUUACCAGUGCUGACAACAAUCAAGAACCUCUUAACAAUAAUUAUAUCAAUGCAUAUCCCACAUCUUUCCCCUUCAAUUCAAGCUACAUGUUAAACGAAAAUUGAAUGAAAAUGAGAGAACUAAUAACGCAUUACCACAUUUUGUUAAAAUUUCAAGUUAUUAACAAAGAUUUCGUUAGUUGUUAAGAGCUCAAAAUGCCCCUUCAACAUUACCUUUACCUUGUUGAUUCCGACUAAGUCCAAAAUUUGGAGAGGAUAGAUGGGAAGAGCGUUUGAAGGAAUCCAAAGCCCACUAAAACGUCUGAGAGAAGAGGAAGAGGAGACGAAUCGAGUUUGUAAUUUGUUUCAUUUGGAAACGUAUCAAGGAAGAACACUCGAAGAAAUGUCGAGAUUAUUAUUUUUUUAACAGACACGUGGCAUUCUUUGAUGCAGUACAUUAGAUUAGAUUAGAUUAUUGAUUGGCUUUGUUAUAGUUCUCUGCAAUAUAAAAA
rnacentral:lncRNA from 1 species